UACGGAGGAUGCAAGCGUUAUCCGGAAUGAUUGGGCGUAAAGCGUCCGCAGGUGGCUGUGUAAGUCUGCUGUCAAAGAGCGAAGCUCAACUUCGUAAAGGCAGUGGAAACUACACGGCUAGAGUGCGUUCGGGGCAGAGGGAAUUCCUGGUGUAGCGGUGAAAAUGCGUAGAGAUCAGGAAGAACACCGGGUGGCGAAGGCGCUCUGCUAGGCCGCAAACUGACACUGAGGGGACGAAAAGCUAGGGGGAGCGAAAUGGG
rnacentral:rRNA from 1 species